rnacentral:rRNA from 1 species
UACGUAGGUGGCGAGCGUUAUCCGGAAUUACUGGGCGUAAAGCGCACGCAGGCGGUCUUUUAAGUUUGACGUGAAAGCUCCCGGCUUAACUGGGAGAGGUCGUUGAAGACUGGAAGACUUGAGGCAAUGAGAGGGGUGUAGAAUUCCCGGUGUAGUGGUGGAAUGCGUAGAUAUCGGGGGGAAUACCAGUGGCGAAGGCGGCCGACUGGGCCGGAUCCGACGCUGAUGCGCGAAAGCGUGGGGAGCAAACAGG